rnacentral:rRNA from 1 species
AUUGAACGCUGGCGGCAUGCCUUACACAUGCAAGUCGAACGGCAGCACGGGUGCUUGCACCUGGUGGCGAGUGGCGAACGGGUGAGUAAUACAUCGGAACAUGUCCUGUAGUGGGGGAUAGCCCGGCGAAAGCCGGAUUAAUACCGCAUACGAUCUACGGAUGAAAGCGGGGGACCUUCGGGCCUCGCGCUAUAGGGUUGGCCGAUGGCUGAUUAGCUAGUUGGUGGGGUAAAGGCCUACCAAGGCGACGAUCAGUAGCUGGUCUGAGAGGACGACAGCCAAACUGGGACUGAGACACGGCCCAGACCCCUACGGGAGGCAGCAGGGGGGAAUUUUGGAAAAGGGGGGAAAGCCUGAUCCAGCAAUGCCGCGGGUGUGAAGAAGGCCUUCGGGUUGUAAAGCACUUUUGUCCGGAAAGAAAUCCUUGGCCCUAAACCGGGCGGGGGAGGACGGUACCGAAAAAAAAAGCCCCGGCUAACUACUU